UCUUUCUCCAUAUCUCUUACACC
rnacentral:snRNA from 1 species